UACAGGGGGGCAAGCGUUGUUCGGAAUUACUGGGCGUAAAGGGUCUGUAGGUGGCCAACUAAGUCAGACGUGAAAUCCCUCAGCUUAACUGGGGAACUGCGUCUGAUACUGGAUGGCUUGAGUGUGGGAGAGGAAUGCGGAAUUCCAGGUGUAGCGGUGAAAUGCGUAGAUAUCUGGAGGAACACCGGUGGCGAAGGCGGCAUUCUGGACCAUAACUGACACUGAGAGACGAAAGCCAGGGGAGCAAACGGG
rnacentral:rRNA from 1 species